UACGUAGGGGGCAAGCGUUGUUCGGAUUACUGGCGUAAAGGGCGCGUAGGCGGCCAGCACAAGUCAGUUGUGAAAUCUCCGAGCUUAACUCGGAACGGUCAACUGAUACUGUGCGGCUAGAGUGCGGAAGGGGCAACUGGAAUUCUUGGUGUAGCGGUGAAAUGCGUAGAUAUCAAGAGGAACACCUGCGGCGAAGGCGGGUUGCUGGGCCGACACUGACGCUGAGGCGCGAAAGCCAGGGGAGCGAACGGG
rnacentral:rRNA from 1 species